rnacentral:rRNA from 1 species
UGGGUUAGUCCGCAACGAGCGCAACCCCUAUCCUCAGUUGCCAUCAUUAAGUUGGGGCACUCUGUGGAGACUGCCGGUGUUAAACCGGAGGAAGGUGGGGAUGACGUCAAGUCCUCAUGGCCCUUAUGACCAGGGCUACACACGUGCUACAAUGGCCGGUACAAAGAGUUGCGAUACCGCGAGGUGGAGCUAAUCUCAUAAAGCCGGUCUCAGUUCGGAUUGGAGUCUGCAACUCGACUCCAUGAAGUUGGAAUCGCUAGUAAUCGCGGAUCAGCACGCCGCGGUGAAUACGUUCCCGGGCCUU